rnacentral:rRNA from 1 species
GAUGAACGCUGGCGGCGUGCCUAAUACAUGCAAGUCGAGCGAACAGACGAGGAGCUUGCUCCUUCGACGUUAGCGGCGGACGGGUGAGUAACACGUAGGUAACCUACCUAUAAGACUGGGAUAACUUCGGGAAACCGGAGCUAAUACCGGAUAAUAUUUCGAACCGCAUGGUUCGAUAGUGAAAGAUGGCUUUGCUAUCACUUAUAGAUGGAGCUGCGCCGUAUUAGCUAGUUGGUAAGGUAACGGCUUACCAAGGCAACGAUACGUAGCCGACCUGAGAGGGUGAUCGGCCACACUGGAACUGAGACACGGUCCAGACUCCUACGGGAGGCAGCAGUAGGGAAUCUUCCGCAAUGGGCGAAAGCCUGACGGAGCAACGCCGCGUGAGUGAUGAAGGUCUUCGGAUCGUAAAACUCUGUUAUUAGGGAAGAACAAACGUGUAAGUAACUGUGCACGUCUUGACGGUACCUAAUCAGAAAGCCACGGCUAACUACGUG